rnacentral:snoRNA from 1 species
UGCCUCUCAGGGUCGCAUCUGAAGUGUUUCCAGUACUCUACCAGUCUUGGCUGUGGGAGGGAGAGUCAAACAGAGGCCUAACCAUUCUAUUCCUAGCUUGGCCAGUGGCUAGCGAGUGGAAGGCAAUCUGCUACAAGG